AGAUUCCUUAACGUAAAAUUUCAACUGUAGCUCUAUACACGUUGAUUAACAGAAGAAUGCUUGAAACUUUAUCAUUAAUUGCAACGGCGCUUUAUCGGCAAUGAGUUUUUCUUAGGUAUGUGUUUUCAUAUCAUUUGUAAGUAAAAAAAGCCACUACCUGCUUAUGAAAACUCUUAUUCCAAUUUUGCACAGAGUUCGCAACCUUUCCGAGAAAAUGGGAUAUGGACAAGGUCAUUUGCAGAUGGGCAUGGCGGAGAAAAAAGGUUAUGUUGCUUGAAGAUUUUGAUCUACCACCAGAACGUUUGCCACAAUUUUCUGUGUAAAUAAAUUCUCAAUAGAACACACACGUUUUGUGUUUGUGCACCCAAAUAGAAAAGUUAUGACUCCUUGCAACCGGCACCAUAACUGCAUUAUCUGAAUCGACAAAAACCAAAGCCUAUUUAGUCAGCUUCAGUGACUUUACUUCUAACUGGAUGAUACCAUGACUUGUCUGAUAACGAGUUACUUUAUCGUUUUUGCUCUUGUAUCAUUCGUAUAGGUAUUGCAAACGUUUACGUGUAUAUUUAUAUCUAAAAAAAAGCAGAAAAUCGAUGAUUAAAGAAAUAAAAUUUUCGAGUUCACUCGCUCCGCUUGAA